CUCUUGCUGACAUAUAGACACACACACCCCAAAUUGCUCGUUCUGUAAUGUUCAUGCCUUGCAAGGGAGGGCACAUGUCACUGUAAUAUAUUCAAUUAAAAUUUGAACUUAACUACCAACAACAGAGACACAUGUAUGUCUAGUAGUAGUACAGAUGAUGAUAAUUCUUAAAACGAUUUUCUUUCUUCUUCAUAAUACAUUCAUCCAUCCUUCAAAAUUAGACAGUUGGAUCAAUCAUGAACACUUGAAAAUAGAAGUAAAUAACUAAGUAAUUAAUGAACAUGUUUAAAGCUAUUGCUCCUCUAGUUCUCAGUUACAACAUGAUAUGUUCUUGCACUAUAAGAUCACCGUCUACUUCGUACUUUCAUUCUCCAAUUCUGAAGGCCAAAGAAAAGCUCCCAUGGCAAACUUUCUCUUCUGGUUAACAUCUCCAACAAUGGGUAGUCCAUACUCUUUUAGCAAGCAGUCCAACCUCCAUUCAGGCAUCGUCUCAUAGUCACCCUUCUUGAAUCUUGGAUAGUGCAGUGGCAUUUGGAAGCAAGAGCACUUAUCCCUCUUGUUUUCUUGUUUUUGGUGCCCAUUAGGCCUCAAUCCUGACACGGCAUGGGCAGUGUUAGAGCAAGUGAUUCCACUCAUCUUCACCUCUCAACUAAUAUCUUUUUUAGCACAAACAAUGGCUAGCUAGGUAGUCAGCCUUUUAUAGGAAAGCUAUGAGUAAAGAGCAAGAGAACUAGAAGACGCGAGUAGAUGCUCGAACAAGACAAGCAUAGAGAUUUAAUUAAUACCCUGAAAAUGAACCAUCUAGGGAUACAAGAUUGAGAUGGUAUUAGCUUCUUUCAUUCUGUUUGAAUCCAAUGCAUCUUACUUGCAAUGGAGGCUAUCUAUCAUAAUCAAAUUAAAUGCUCAAAAAAUGUGUGGUCUGAAUUCUUUAUGAAGUUCCAAUAUUCUACCAAUGACCUAGCUAUCUACUAUACCACCAGUCUGUAAAUGCUUCUAGCUUACAAAAAGAGAUGACGUACUGUGAAAUAAGUUAUUGUCAGUACUACAGAUUGGCUCAAGUUGGGAAAUAUGUUGUAGAAUUUAGUAUGGCCUUCCUUGCAUAACUAAAGAGACAUUAUAUCAAAUAAUUUCUGCCUGGCUGGCCCAUUUGUAAUUGUAUAUAGUGUAAUAUUCAUCCAGUUUCUGGAGAAUUAAGAUUUCGGCCAAGAAAACUCUUCAACACAUCGCAACUUGGGAUAAAAGCAAAAUGUUUCAAACCUUGUCGAAGAUCUAUCUAUCCUUAUUGUGGGCUAGGGGCACAGAUUUUCCCUGAACUCGGAGACUUUGUUUUCGAAUUUUAGCUAUACUUAGGUUUUUUCAGAAUUUUGGCCGAACUCUGAGGAGAACUCAGUGUCGACAAAAGACCUUAAGUCUCAGGUUUUCCUUGAGACCUAAGACUUCUCUUAGGAAUUUUCUUUUGGUGGAGGGUCGAAAAUUUGACCAUUUCUAUAUCCUGAAAACUUAUAUUAACCUUUAAUCAUGCAUGCGUAACACAUGCAAGUGUGCCACAAACAAUUAUAGGGUGACUAGGUCAAACCUUAAAUCGAAGGAUUAAUCUUCAUCAAGUAGCGAGUCAAAAGUUUUAAGAAAGCAGGGAAACAUUCCUGCUCGUCAACAAUGGGAAAAAGAAAGUGAAAAACGUUGUCUAGGUCUGUUGAUUGAAUGAGGGCCUGCACUAAUUUACUGACUGAUCACCGUCAUUGUUUCUGCACAAGCUUUCUUUGUUCGAAAAGCAAAUUUCUACAAAGAAUCCUGCCCCUCACAUUAGAUAAUAGAAAAGUUCUCGUGGAUAUAUUCUGGAACAGUUUUUCUUGCAACUUAAGCAGAAGCCUUUACCAGAUGAGCAAAUCAUUUUGACAGCAUUUGCUGUUUCUGGAGAAGAACCAGAAUCUUCUUAUAAUUGGUUCUGAAUCCAGCUAAGAAGGCUUGCCCGCACAGCUAGUCAAGAACUAGCUGUAGAAUCUGCAGUGCAACUUACAUUGAGCGCCUAAUUAGAGCAUUAUGUCACGAAACUUCAGCUUAGAGGUUAGCCAAGUCGCGCGACACUUAAUUAACUUGCUUGACAAAGUCGAACUAAGUAAGCCUAGAUGAGAGUUGGAAGCAAUUUUAGGUGAGUAAAGUAGGUAGCAGGGGUUUAGGACUUCGGUAGGGUAGAAAGUUGAGAGCACUUGAGCUUUAUAAAUAUGGAAAGCUUUAUUAAGUUUCCAAC
rnacentral:lncRNA from 1 species